ensembl:lncRNA
CCUACCUCAGCCCCUGUACUUCAUUUGAGACGCUUUCAGCAGCUGAUGCGGACAUAUCCAUGGGAGCCGGUUCAGGGACAGAGCAGUAGUCUUCAUCGUCGAAAAGGAGAUCAACUUCAUCUUCCGGAGGGGCAGUUUUGGCGAACUGAUCCACUCUCUCCCACACGCCGCGCCUUGGGGUUUCGACUGUAUCCUGGUUCCACUCAAAAAGGGUCGCUACGGCACCUUUUGUAAUUUGGCUCGGAAAGCCAUGGAAACGUAAUACCCCGUUGGAUUUGGCUGACGCUGUACAGUUGGGGACACAGCAGUGCUGGCGUGUUCCCGAUUCCUGGGGGGUGGAGCUACGGCUACUUAAGGCGUGGCCUGUGCUCCCGAUGGGGCUCUCAUUCUGGCGUCCUCACGUUGACCCGAGCUGCCUUGGAAUCCUGCUGGGAGGACUGCUACCGUUUUUUCGCAUUUGUUUUAUGUAGCGGAGGAUGGGAACUGUAGGGAGGAAGUGCUGGCUUCGACGGCCCAUUGCGUGGCUGGCCCAGGCUUCGUCCAACCUUUUGUUUCUUUAAUGAGUGUCCUUUUGUCGGAAGUUCUGUGAAAUAAACGUCACCAGCAUUGUGAUCGGGAACUUUGGGUCU